rnacentral:lncRNA from 1 species
GCCUCAACAGGUAAUUACUAUAUACAACCAACAGUGCCAUUUUUAAGUUAAAAAAAGGUAUUAGGUGAACAAUAGUAAGGAAAUAAAAAACAACAGUAGAGAGGCCCUAUAUACAGACAGGGCACCGAGGCCCUAGACAGGAAACCGAGGCCCUAGACAGGAAACCGAGGCCCUAUAGACAGGGCACCGAGGCCCUAGAGACAGGGCACCGAGGCCCUAUAGACAGGGCACCGAGGCCCUAUAGACAGGGCACCGAGGCCCUAGACAGGGCACCGAGGCCAUAGACAGGGCACCGAGGCCAUAGACAGGAAACCGAGGCCAUAGACAGGAAACCGAGGCCAUAGACAGGAAACCGAGUCCAUAGACAGGAAAC